rnacentral:tRNA from 1 species
GCCCAGAUAGCUCAGUGGCAGAGCACUUGCUUGGUAAGUAAGAGGUCGACGGUUCAAUUCCGUUUCUGGGCU